UACGUAGGAGGCAAGCGUUGUCCGGAAUCACUGGGCGUAAAGCGCGUGUAGGCGGAUCGCUAAGUCUGUGGUGAAAGCGCCUGGCUUAACCGGGCGAGGUCCAUGGAAACUAGCGGUCUGGAGGCCGGUAGAGGGGGGUGGAAUUCCGGGUGUAGUGGUGAAAUGCGUAGAGAUCCGGAGGAACACCAGUGGCGAAGGCGGCCCCCUGGGCCGCGCCUGACGCUGAGACGCGAAAGCGUGGGGAGCAAACGGA
rnacentral:rRNA from 1 species